rnacentral:rRNA from 1 species
GAUGAACGCUAGCGGGAGGCCUAACACAUGCAAGCCGAGCGGUAUUGUUUCUUCGGAAAUGAGAGAGCGGCGUACGGGUGCGUAACACGUGUGCAACCUGCCUUUAUCUGGGGGAUAGCCUUUCGAAAGGAAGAUUAAUACUCCAUAAUAUAUUGAACGGCAUCGUUUAAUAUUGAAAGCUCCGGCGGAUAGAGAUGGGCACGCGCAAGAUUAGCUAGUUGGUGAGGUAACGGCUCACCAAGGCGAUGAUCUUUAGGGGGCCUGAGAGGGUGAUCCCCCACACUGGUACUGAGACACGGACCAGACUCCUACGGGAGGCAGCAAUGAGGAAUAUUGGUCAAUGGGUGCAAGCCUGAACCAGCCAUCCCGUGUGAAGGACGACUGCCCUAUGGGUUGUAAACUUCUUUUGUAUAGGGAUAAACCUACCCUCGAGAGGGUAGCUGAAGGUACUAUACGAAUAAGCACCGGCUAACUCCGUG